CAGUAGAUGAGGAGUUGUUUGUAAUUUCAUUUUAUAAUCGGGUUUAGCCACGCAUCCAAAAACCCCCUUAAAACCCACCGCCCCUUCCUCAUUCCACUGCCUGCUUCCCUCCUGUCACCAGUUCAACCGUUUUCCUCUCUCAUAUGAAAACCCUCUGGUUAGAAUCCAGUAGCGACGCAACAUGAACAGCCCAGAUCAACACAGCCUUGAGAGGUUACGGUUUUGUAUGGGAUUACGACGGCUAGAAGUCGGUGGAUUCCGACAAAUUCCGGUUAGCUCCGGUGAGAACCGGGUGACCUGAACCAGGUAUCAAGAAUUAUCAUCUUUGUAUUAUUUUGGAAAUUUUUAUAUGAUUUGGGUUGAUUUUGUUAAUCUUUCUUCUCCACUUGGCCCUUAUUUACGGAGAAUCACCAAUUCUUGAUGAACAUUAGGAUUCAGGCACCAUGCACCCUUCUUCUUCUCCAAUAUUCCAUUAUAAAACCCCUCUCUGAGGAGGAGGCAGAUCAUCGUUUAGUUGCGUGCUCUUUUGCUCGGUCCGUUUGGUGAAGCGUUUUGGUUUGGGUUUAGCUUCCAAUCCCUAGGGCCUUCGAAUCAGAUUCUACAGCAUAUGCAGAACUAUGGCAGCGAUGGCUUAAGAAAAAAAGGAGUGCAGUCUAUUGCUUUUCUCACGCUAUGGAAAAUUUGGACGUGCCGUACCGAAUUUUUUUUAACAAUAGAUGCACCAUUCUGAGAAACGUCGUGGAAGAUAUAAAAGACAAUAGCUUCUGGUGGGUGAAGAAGAGAUCAAAAAUGGCUGGGCUGAAUAAAGAGAACUGGAGCAAAUUCGAGUUGGAUAAUGUGUGCAAGUAUAUCAUACAUGUAUGUUCCUUUAAACUCCAGCUCUAUCGGUUUUCUAUGCCAAGUUCCAAAAUCCUAGGUCUCGGAAACGAUGACAAGUUUUGGCGAUGGAUGUUCAGACUUCAUAAGUAGGUGUGAUUCAUGAGGUUAAAGGCGAUGGCAGCAGAGCCAACUCCUGCGGCGCGAUUAAGAUUUUGCCGCGAACCCUAACGGCGAUGGUGGUUGCGUUUACACAAGCUUGAACGGUGGCGGCGACCACCACAGCGGUUGGAUCCAAAACUCGCUGAAUAAAGCUGGUCCAAUGAGAAUUUCGGCAGCGUGGUUAUGCAUGCAAGCCCGUUCUAACAUGGAUCAAAAUAUAUUUUGUUUGAGGGCUUGAGGUAGUUUUAAUGCAGCCUGGUUAUUUCUCCCAAGGACUAGCUGAAAAGACUAAUGAUAAUUAUGACAACGAUAAAUCCGUACCAGUUAAAAAUAUUUACUAGAACAGCCCCGUUUUUUCAGGGUAUUUGCAAAAAAAAAAAGAACAUUUUUUUGGAGUUUUCAAGUGCCUAUACCGCCACGAAUGAGCCAAACCAAAUCAAACUCCCGCAAACUCCAGGCGCAGCG